rnacentral:rRNA from 1 species
CCAAUAGCGUAUAUUAAAGUUGUUGCAGUUAAAGAGCUCGUAGUUGAAUUUCGGGGUCAGUAGGUCGGUCGUGCCACUGGUAUGUACUGGUCUCACUGAUUCCUCCUUCCUGAUGAACCGUAAUGCCAUUAAUUUGGUGUUGCGGGGAAACUGGACUGUUACUUUGAAAAAAAUUAGAGUGUUUAAAGCAGGCUAACGCCUGAAUACAUUAGCAUGGAAUAAUGAAAUAGGACGUUCGAUCCUAUUUUGUUGGUUUCUAGGAUUGACGUAAUGAUUAAUAGGGAUAGUUGGGGGCAUUAGUAUUCAAUUGUCAGAGGUGAAAUUCUUGGAUUUAUUGAAGACUAACUACUGCGAAAGCAUUUGCCAAGGAUGUUUUCAUUAAUCAAGAACGAAAGUUAGGGGAUCGAAGACGAUCAGAUACCGUCGUAGUCUUAACCAUAAACUAUGCCGACUAGGGAUCGGAUGAUGUUAAUUUUUUAAUGACUCAUUCGGCGCCUUACG